rnacentral:rRNA from 1 species
GAUGAACGCUGGCGGCGUGCUUAACACAUGCAAGUCGAACGAUGAAGCCCAGCUUGCUGGGUGGAUUAGUGGCGAACGGGUGAGUAACACGUGAGUAACCUGCCCUUAACUCUGGGAUAAGCCUGGGAAACUGGGUCUAAUACCGGAUAGGAGCGCCUACCGCAUGGUGGGUGUUGGAAAGAUUUAUCGGUUUUGGAUGGACUCGCGGCCUAUCAGCUUGUUGGUGAGGUAAUGGCUCACCAAGGCGACGACGGGUAGCCGGCCUGAGAGGGUGACCGGCCACACUGGGACUGAGACACGGCCCAGACUCCUACGGGAGGCAGCAGUGGGGAAUAUUGCACAAUGGGCGAAAGCCUGAUGCAGCGACGCCGCGUGAGGGAUGACGGCCUUCGGGUUGUAAACCUCUUUCAGCAGGGAAGAAGCGAAAGUGACGGUACCUGCAGAAGAAGCACCGGCUAACUACGUG